rnacentral:lncRNA from 13 species
ACCCCAGUAAUUGUAACAAAAUUAACGCCUGAAACAAUGGCAGAAUUUACAGAAACCUCAUACAGGUGACUAUUUAUUGCUGAUAACAUUGUUACAUUUGAUUCAGAGGAUGUUUUUGAAUUAUUGUAAGGGUGAUUAUUAUCCUGUGACCCCCAGGCUCUAGUGCUCCGGUGUCAGUCUGUUCCAAUGCCGUUUGACAGGGCAGGUGUUUCUGAUGGAGGGGGAGGUGCUGUACAAGGCUGUCCAAUGGGACGAGAAUCUCCUGCAUUCUACAGGCCGGACUCAUGCAGGAGCCCUGUUCAGACCCUCAGGGGUCUGUCCGUCAGCUACACCUCCCACACUGUGACAUUCCCUCUGGAGAUGGUCUUGGUUCCCUGUCUGUGGCCCAUGUGACUGGUGACAGUGUGGAGGUUUUAUCGCCGCUGAGGAUGACUGACACACACACACAGUGGUUGAAGCGGCAACAGACAGGGAACACUUGCGUACAGCUCUGUUCGGACUGCAUUCUCACUCGAGGGGAAACAUACAGUCUGAAGACUGAAGAGGAUAACCGCCAAGGUUCGGUGUUAGUGGGAAGGCCUCAGGCUGAGACUAGUCAGACGGGUUCGACAGAGAGGCUGCGUUCUGUGAGGACAGAAUUUGUCAAUCGGGUGUCAGGACCUGUGCUCGACAGUUUAUUGGACAGGCUUCUGCACUGGGAAGUUCUCAAUGAACUUGAAAUGGAGACCGUGAAGGGGAUUCCCGAGAGAGCAUAG